GGGGGGGGGGGGGGGGGGGGGGGGGGGGGGGGGGGGGGGCGGGAGGGGCCGGCGUGGGGGGGGGGCUCGAGUGGCGGACGGGUGAGGAACGCGGGAGUGGCCUGCCGUGGACUUUGGGAUAACUUCAGGAAACUGGGGCUAAUACCGGAUAGGAGCUCCUGCUGCAUGGUGGGGGUUGGAAAGUUUCGGCGGUUGGGGAUGGACUCGCGGCUUAUCAGCUUGUUGGUGGGGUAGUGGCUUACCAAGGCUUUGACGGGUAGCCGGCCUGAGAGGGUGACCGGCCACAUUGGGACUGAGAUACGGCCCAGACUCCUACGGGAGGCAGCAGUGGGGAAUAUUGCACAAUGGGCGGAAGCCUGAUGCAGCAACGCCGCGUGCGGGAUGACGGCCUUCGGGUUGUAAACCGCUUUCGCCUGUGACGAAGAGUGAGUGACGGUAAUGGGUAAAGAAGCACCGGCUAACUACGUG
rnacentral:rRNA from 1 species